GACGAACGCUGGCGGCGUGCUUAACACAUGCAAGUCGAACGGAAAGGCCCUGCUUGCAGGGUACUCGAGUGGCGAACGGGUGAGUAACACGUGGGUGAUCUGCCCUGCACUUCGGGAUAAGCCUGGGAAACUGGGUCUAAUACCGGAUAGGAGCCAUUUUGAGUGUGAUGGUUGGAAAGUUUUUUCGGUGUUGGAUGAGCUCGCGGCCUAUCAGCUUGUUGGUGGGGUAAUGGCCUACCAAGGCGGCGACGGGUAGCCGGACUGAGAGGGUGGACGGCCACAUUGGGACUGAGAGACGGCCCAGACUCCUACGGGAGGCAGCAGUGGGGAAUAUUGCACAAUGGGCGCAAGCCUGAUGCAGCGACGCCGCGUGGGGGAUGACGGCCUUCGGGUUGUAAACUCCUUUCGCUAGGGACGAAGCUUUUUGUGACGGUACCUAGAUAAGAAGCACCGGCUAACUACGUG
rnacentral:rRNA from 1 species